rnacentral:rRNA from 1 species
UACGAAGGGGGCAAGCGUUGUUCGGAUUUACUGGGCGUAAAGCGUACGUAGGCGGAUUAUUAAGUCAGGGGUGAAAUCCCGGGGCUCAACCUCGGAACUGCCUUUGAUACUGGUAAUCUUGAGUCCGGGAGAGGUGAGUGGAACUCCUAGUGUAGAGGUGAAAUUCGUAGAUAUUAGGAAGAACACCAGUGGCGAAGGCGGCUCACUGGCCCGGAACUGACGCUGAGGUACGAAAGCGUGGGGAGCAAACAGG